AAUGCGAUACUAAAUAUACCUAACAAUUUGUAUUUUUUUGUAUAAAAAUAAGUCAACAACAUAAAAGUAACGGGGGUGAUCUUCUGUUUUUAUUCACUAUAAGAAUCUAAAGCUCAUUAACAUCAAUGGCAGCACUCUCCUUCCUAUGAUCAUGAAUCAAAGAUAGAAGUAUUAGCUGCUUCUUCAUUUAUUCAAUCGUUCCAAUUCCAAGCCAGAAAAAUAAAAUCUUUUACGUCACAAAGUGGAUAUAAAAACCCAUUCCUCCAAAUACAAUAAAAAAAAAAAAACCUUCAAAAAGAUUAAUCGAGCUCGAAUCCAAGUAAUAUACCAAAUACUUUCUUCUCAUUUAAGUCUACAUAUAAUGAAUGGGUAAAGCAACAGGGUAAGAACAUUAAUAAAAUUUAAGGCAAAUUUGCUACCCUUGCGUUUGACAUCCUCUGGAAUAUGUAGGCUCCCCAGUCAUGACUCCAAGUAAGAGAUCCUGUCCAUGCCAUGCACUCAAGUCUUCCAUGCCAAUAAAAUUUCAGAUCUACAUUUCUUUAUUCAUGAGUUGAUGCUGUUAACAUUUUUAUUGUUUAAAAUGUCAUACCUCAGAAUGCCACCUACAGUUUACAUCCUUAUAUAAGUUAGAAGAAGGUUUGUGCAACUGGCAGGCAAUUGAUGCUUAUCCAGAAACAGAGAUAGAAAUCAAUGACCCAAUACCACAGUGGUGGACUUCACAGUGAAAAGGCUGAAUAUGCUACUCAAGGGGCCAACCGAACAAUUCUCCAAAAUCGUUUUCCAUUCAUCUCUUGAGGGGAAUAUUCCAACCUGCCAAAAUAUAGCACAUAUAUAUUACCAAUUGGACCAACCUUCAUUUGAAUAAUUUUAACCACAAUUUUGAAAUUCUGC
rnacentral:lncRNA from 1 species